GACGGAGGAUGCAAGCGUUAUCCGGAAUUAUUGGGCGUAAAGCGUCCGCAGGUGGACAUACAAGUCUGCUGUCAAAGUGCAGAGCUUAACUCUGUAAAGGCGGUGGAAACUGUAGGUCUUGAGUAUGGUAGGGGUAGAGGGAAUUCCCGGUGUAGCGGUGAAAUGCGUAGAUAUCGGGAAGAACAUCGGUGGCGAAGGCGCUCUGCUGGACCAUAACUGACACUCAGGGACGAAAGCUAGGGGAGCGAAUGGG
rnacentral:rRNA from 1 species